rnacentral:rRNA from 1 species
UACGUAGGGUGCAAGCGUUGUCCGGAAUUAUUGGGCGUAAAGAGCUCGUAGGCGGUCUGUCGCGUCUGCUGUGAAAACUCAGGGCUUAACCCUGAGCUUGCAGUGGGUACGGGCAGACUAGAGUGCGGUAGGGGAGACUGGAAUUCCUGGUGUAGCGGUGAAAUGCGCAGAUAUCAGGAGGAACACCGGUGGCGAAGGCGGGGUCUCUGGGACGGUACUGACGCUGGAGACGCGAAAAGCGUGGGGAG